rnacentral:rRNA from 1 species
UACGUAGGGUGCGAGCGUUGUCCGGAAUUAUUGGGCGUAAAGAGCUCGUAGGCGGUGUGUAACGUCGGCCGUGAAAACCUGCAGCUUAACUGUGGGCGUGCGGUCGAUACGGGCAUCACUGGAGUUCGGCAGGGGAGACUGGAAUUCCUGGUGUAACGGUGAAAUGCGCAGAUAUCAGGAGGAACACCGGUGGCGAAGGCGGGUCUCUGGGCCGAUACUGACGCUGAGGAGCGAAAGCGUGGGGAGCAAACAGG